rnacentral:rRNA from 1 species
GGCACGUCGACGAACGUGGCGCGGGUGCUGCUCUGCCUGGAGGAGGUGGGCGCCGAGUACGAGCUGGUGCCCGUCGACUUCCUCGCCGGCGAGCACAACACCCCCGAGCACGCCCAGCGAGACCCAUUCGGGAAGAUCCCCGCGUUCCAAGACGGCGACCUCGUCCUGUUCGAGUCCCGCGCGAUCGCGAGGUACAUCCUCCGCAAGUACAGGGCGCCGGGCUCGCCGGACCUGCUGGGAGAGAACGGCGGCGCCGAGGAGGCGGCGAUGGUGGACAUGUGGAUGGAGGUGGAGGCCCAGCAGUACCACCCGGCCAUCUCGCCGGUGGUGUUCGAGUGCAUCAUCUUCCCCGUCAUGCGCGGCGCCAAGACGGACCAGAAGGUCGUCGACGAGAGCCUGAAGAGGCUGCGGGGUGUGCUGGGGACGUACGAGGAGCGCCUGUCCAGGAGCAGGUACCUGGCCGGGGACUCCUUCAGCUUCGCGGACCUCAACCACUUCCCCUUCACCUUCUACUUCAUGGCCACCCCGUACGCGGCCCUCUUCGACGAGUACCCCAGGGUGAAGGCCUGGUGGGAGGACCUCAUGGCCAGCCCCUCGGUCGAGAGGGUCUGCGCCAAUAUGCCUACCAAGUUCUAG